CGGCCCGCUUCGGCGGCCACGCCCCCAGCGGGGAGCCGGUCCACGUGGGGCGGGACAGCCCCCUCCCUGCGGCCUCGCCCUGGAGUCUCGGCACCGUCUGGCCCCGCCGGCUGAUUACAGCCAGAGAUCGAGGGGGACCUCGCUGUCCCCCUAGAGGCCGUCAUGCGGGGUUACAGAGGCUGCGACCAAAGUCAUUCCUAGCUCCUCUCUCGGGGCUCCGGAAAGCCGUCCGCGCCUCCAGCCGCACUUUCAGCGCACGCAGGACCUGCCGCGCCCGGUGGCCACACCCGUCCCUCUGCCGGGUGACGCUGCGGGAGAUCUUGCGCCCUGGGGCUCCGGAUCCAGUUCUGGCACGUUGUUGCACCUGUGACUUGUCCUUGGCCUGGCACUGUCCCUCGCCUGGGGGAAGCGGGGGGGUGGGGGGGGGAUGCUCACGUGGUCGCUUUGCUCCCGCAGUCAUGCACUUGGGUGAAAACAGACUGAAGAGUCACGGGAACCAGCUUGUCUCCCCAGUUAUGGCGCAGAGCUGCAAGGAUGGCUGUGGGUCAUUAAUUUCUCCGUGGCUGACCUGUGUUUGUAACGCCGCAGCUGUUGCGAGGGGGAAGGACACUGCUUCGGAUUCAAAUUCUGACUCCUUGCUGCAGUGUGUCACCUUGAGCCAGUCCCAGAUCUCUGCGUUCUCACAAUUGUAAAAUGUUAACAGAGGCUGCCUACCUUGUGGCUGGAAUUAAAUGAAUUAACGUGUGUGAAUGUGACUAGAAUUCAGUACAUGUUCAGGAAAAGCUGAUUUCCGCUUUGCUGUUACCGUGAAUAUUACUGUUUUAGGGUGUAGAAAAGGGUGGAAGGGGAUGUUAUUGCAUCCUGGAAGCUUAUCCUUUUGAGGUAAAGAUUGAUUUCUGGUCCCCUGCGUGGUAUAUAGUGUAGUUUUGACAUUAUUUAGAUGUGUUAUGCACAUUUGGGUGUUGAUUAUAUGGCUUACGAUCAAGACUAACCAGUCAUGCCGUGGGAGAUUAAGGUCGUGGUCUCUUGUCAGGAUUGUAGUGAGAUUUAAAAAUUCCAGCCAGAAAUACCAGGCUUAGAAUGCUCUGAAGCCCUCCCCACAUUUUUGCCAUCUCUAGCAGGAGGGCACUGCAUAGCAGAAACAAAGACGUUGUAAAUUGUUGCUGCCUGAGUCAUUUAUAGAGGCUUAAACAACCUGAAUGUCCUCUGACCUACCUGUAACAUUUGAUGGAGUUGUAUGAGUAACUUACAAAGCUGUAGGUCCCAAGGUCGGUCUGAAAAAGAAAGUUCAUAUCCGGGAGCACUGACCCCGUAGUGUAAUCCUGGCACCUUAAAACGUACUGCUCCCUCCACCUUCACUUCAAGGUUAUGAAAACAUUGAGUAAAAGGGAUGAUCUGUUCAAAGUCCUUAGUGUUCUGCCAAUUUAAAACAGUAAUUUUCAAAGCAGUUAUUUGCAAGGAAAUUGCCUAGAACUUCUCCCAGUGUGCGGUUGUUUUGUGUGUUUGUGUGUGUGUUUUGUUUGUUUGUUUUCAGUCUGUCCACAGGCGUACUUUUAUAGGUCUGUGAUAGUAGGUAGCUCUUCAAGUUGGCAAACACCUGCUGGACAACCCCUGAGAGAUUCAUCUGAGUGAGAGAGCACUCUCCAGCCCCAUCGGAGUGGGUUUGCAGGGAAAUCAUAAGGAAGAAAUCCUUAUCUUUCCAACACUGAGAUGCUUCUGCCGAAGAGUAGAAUGGGAGUGAGGGGACACGCAAAACGGGCUGCUGCCGGAGGAAGAGGAACAGUGUUGUGGCUCAUGCCAUAUGAAUGGGCUCACUGGCCUGGCCCAGACCCUGACUGCCCACAGGAUCUUUGGUGAGUCACUGUCACUGAGCCUGUGAGCCUAGGGUCCCUCUCCAACCUCACCCUCAGAGAGGACAGAACAAGAUGACCUGUGGCAUGCUGCAGAACACCAUGUUGGGGACUGUGGGUUUAGAGUCCUCUUGGGGACAUGUCCAUCGUUCACUAAUUCGGUGGAGUUGAGCUGCUGAGAGCUAGGAAAGCUACUCUCCCCCCGGAUCCCAACCUAGCCCUGUGGAAGACCAGACAAAAGAAGGAAGCAAUGACAUUUCUGCACUUUUUAGUUCAGAGAGGCACAGUCAAGGAAAUGCAUUUGAGGUCACUGUUCGAUGUACUUGAAGUACUCAUCCUGGAAAUAGUCUACUUGGAGUAGAGGGAGCUCAAGUGGGCAUGGGAACGUUGUGGAACCAGACCAGGAACAAAGGCGGCUUCAGAGGCCGUCUGUGAGGACUUGCAUGGGAGCAGGGGCGAGAACAUCCAGGGAAGAGAAGACAGAGAAACGGAGGCACAGAGAAGGAAGCGGCAGUUAAAGCUGCGAAGAACCUAACAAAUUUCAAGAUUGUAAGUGCCUUUUCCCAGGAUGCCAGCAAGUACUGAGCCUGUAUUUUGAGCUGCAUCAAACCCUGUUGGAAUAAAAAAGGACAUUUCUAGGAGAUCAGUCUUCGAGAUUGGCCCCAGUUUCCCCAGAGUAGGAAGAGGCAGGAAGCCAGAGCACAUGUUCUCUCCAGAAAUAAAGUUGUUGCAGUGGCCUAACCGUGUCUUAGAGUUACUGAAAACUCUGUUCUCUUGAGAUUUCUCAAGAAAGGAAACCUAUCUUGCAAGACAAAACCCACCUGUAGUCAAUUCCUACAGGAAAUAAAUUCAAAAUAAUGUUUCAGGCAAGGGC
rnacentral:lncRNA from 1 species